AGAGUUUGAUCCUGGCUCAGGACGAACGCUGGCGGCGUGCCUAAUACAUGCAAGUCGAGCGAGCUUGCCUAGAUGAUUUUAGUGCUUGCACUAAAUGAAACUAGAUACAAGCGAGCGGCGGACGGGUGAGUAACACGUGGGUAACCUGCCCAAGAGACUGGGAUAACACCUGGAAACAGAUGCUAAUACCGGAUAACAACACUAGACGCAUGUCUAGAGUUUGAAAGAUGGUUCUGCUAUCACUCUUGGAUGGACCUGCGGUGCAUUAGCUAGUUGGUAAGGUAACGGCUUACCAAGGCAAUGAUGCAUAGCCGAGUUGAGAGACUGAUCGGCCACAUUGGGACUGAGACAUGGCCCAAACUCCUACGGGAGGCAGCAGUGGGGAAUCUUCCACAAUGGACGAAAGUCUGAUGGAGCAACGCCGCGUGAGUGAAGAAGGGUUUCGGCUCGUAAAGCUCUGUUGGUAGUGAAGAAAGAUAGAGGUAGUAACUGGCCUUUAUUUGACGGUAAUUACUUAGAAAGUCACGGCUAACUACGUGCCAGCAGCCGCGGUAAUACGUAGGUGGCAAGCGUUGUCCGGAUUUAUUGGGCGUAAAGCGAGUGCAGGCGGUUCAAUAAGUCUGAUGUGAAAGCCUUCGGCUCAACCGGAGAAUCGCAUGAGAAACUGUUGAACUUGAGUGCAGAAGAGGAGAGCGGAAUUCCCGGUGUAGCGGUGGAAUGCGCAGAUAUCGGGAAGAACACCGAUGGCGAAGGCAGCUCUCUGGGCCGUCACUGACGCUGAGGCGCGAAAGCUGGGGGAGCGAACAGGAUUAGAUACCCUGGUAGUCCCAGCCGUAAACGAUGGAUACUAGGGGUGGGGGGGAUCCCCCCUCCGUGGAGCAGCGAACGCAUUGAGUAUCCUCAGGGGGGAGUAGCGGCAGCAAGGAUAAAAGUCAAAGGAAUUGACGGGGGCUCGCGCCAGCAGCGGAGCAUGUGGCUUAAUUGGUAGCUACGGGGAGAUCCUUUGCAGGGGUGGACAUGCGCAUGAAGCCGUGGAGGCGAGGUGAUCGAGAGGAGGGCGGGCAGGUGGUGCAUGGCUGUCGUCUGAUGGGUGAGGAAGAUGUUGGGUUAAGUCACGCGCAGAGCGCAUCUCCCGUCGCGUGUUGCGAGCAUUAGGUGGGGGAGUCGCGGGAGGUUUCCGGCGUCGAGCGGGGGGAAGGUGGGGAAGACGUCAAGUGAUCAUGCGCUCUAUGCCUUGGCACGCCCGCGUGCUCCAAUGGCGGGUACAGAGGGUUGCCACCCGCGGGAGGGGGAGCGGAUCCCGGAAAGCCGCCCCCAGUUGGGAUGGCCGGGUGCAACCCGCGUGAGUGAAGCGGGAGUAGAGAGUAAUCGAGGAUCAGCUCGCCGCGG
rnacentral:rRNA from 1 species